rnacentral:rRNA from 1 species
UUGAACGCUGGCGGCAGGCCUAACACAUGCAAGUCGAGCGGAUGAAGGGAGCUUGCUCCUGGAUUCAGCGGCGGACGGGUGAGUAAUGCCUAGGAAUCUGCCUGGUAGUGGGGGAUAACGUCCGGAAACGGGCGCUAAUACCGCAUACGUCCUGAGGGAGGAAGUGGGGGAUCUUCGGACCUCACGCUAUCAGAUGAGCCUAGGUCGGAUUAGCUAGUUGGUGGGGUAAAGGCCUACCAAGGCGACGAUCCGUAACUG